rnacentral:rRNA from 1 species
GAUUAACGCUGGCGGUAUGCCUAACACAUGCAAGUCGAACGGAAUACUCGAAAAGAGAAUCUCACACUAGUGAGAGGUUCUCCAACCGAGUAUUUAGUGGCGGACGGGUGAGUAACACGUUGGAACCUGCCCCGAAGUGGGGAAUAACUGCUCGAAAGAGUAGCUAAUACCCCAUAGUAUCCGGUUUAUCCGGAUUAAAGAUUUAUCGCUUCGGGAGGGGCCUGCGUCUGAUUAGCUUGUUGGUGGGGUAAAAGCUCACCAAGGCGACGAUCAGUAGCUGGUUCGAGAGGAUGACCAGCCACACUGGGACUGAGAUACGGCCCAGACUCCUACGGGAGGCAGCAGUGAGGAAUCUUCCACAAUGGACGAAAGUCUGAUGGAGCAAUACCGUGUGCAGGACGACGCUUUUCGGAGUGUAAACUGCUUUUGUCGUCGAAGAUUAUGACUGUAGACGAAGAAUAAGGACCGGCUAACUACGUGCCAGCAGCCGCGGUAAAAUAGCGUA